GUCUUUUUGAGUUUAAUUUAAAGUCUAAUCUGCCCACUGAUAAAAAAUUUAAGGGCCGCAGUAUUUUGACUGUGCAAAGGUAGCAUAAUCAUUAGUCUUUUAAUUGAAGGCUUGUAUGAAUGAUUGAACGAGAUAUAAGCUGUCUCAUAAAAAUUUUAAUAGAAUUUUAUUUUUUAGUUAAAAAGCUAAAAUAUAUUUAAAAGACGAGAAGACCCUAUAGAUCUUUAUAAUUUAUUUAUAAGUUUUUUUAAGUUAUUUUUUGGAUUUAUAAAUUAAAUUAUUUUGUUGGGGUGACAAUGAAAUUUAAUAAACUUUCAUAAUUUUAUUACAUUUAUUUAUGUUUUUUUGAUCCAUUAUUAGUGAUUAAAAAUUUAAGUUACCUUAGGGAUAACAGCGUAAUUAUUUUGGAGAGUUCUUAUCGAUAAAAUAGUUUGCGACCUCGAUGUUGGAUUAAGAUUAAUUCUAGGUGUAGCCGCUUAGAAUAUUAAGUCUGUUCGACUUUUAAUUUCUU
rnacentral:rRNA from 1 species